GGUUUCCGCCCCUUAGUGCUGCAGCUAACGCAUUAAGCACUCCGCCUGGGGAGUACGGUCGCAAGACUGAAACUCAAAGGAAUUGACGGGGGCCCGCACAAGCGGUGGAGCAUGUGGUUUAAUUCGAAGCAACGCGAAGAACCUUACCAGGUCUUGACAUCCUCUGACAACCCUAGAGAUAGGGCUUUCCCUUCGGGGACAGAGUGACAGGUGGUGCAUGGUUGUCGUCAGCUCGUGUCGUGAGAUGUUGGGUUAAGUCCCGCAACGAGCGCAACCCUUGAUCUUAGUUGCCAGCAUUUAGUUGGGCACUCUAAGGUGACUGCCGGUGACAAACCGGAGGAAGGUGGGGAUGACGUCAAAUCAUCAUGCCCCUUAUGACCUGGGCUACACACGUGCUACAAUGGACAGAACAAAGGGCUGCGAGACCGCAAGGUUUAGCCAAUCCCAUAAAUCUGUUCUCAGUUCGGAUCGCAGUCUGCAACUCGACUGCGUGAAGCUGGAAUCGCUAGUAAUCGCGGAUCAGCAUGC
rnacentral:rRNA from 1 species